rnacentral:tRNA from 1 species
GGGGUUGUGGCUCAGUGGUAGAGCACUUGCCUAACAUGUGUGAGGCACUGGGUUCGAUUCUUAGCACCA